rnacentral:lncRNA from 1 species
UAUAAAGCUGCGCCCUGCGGAGCACUGGUUUGUAAAUUUUACCAAUAAAUUCUAUUGCAGUAUAUUUACUUUAAGAAUCCUUGUAUUAUUUUUUCUCAUUUGAUUUUUUCAUUGCAACCCAUAAUAUUUGUGACCUUUGAUGUAAGCAUCUGAACAGAAAAAAAAUAUUUGUUAAUUGGUGUAAAAUGGGCUGUUUUUUGCUCUUUUGUCAAGUUUUUGUUUCCUACACAUUCGCUGUUUCCAUUCAUUUAUCAUUCACAUAUGGACAGUUGGAUUACUUAUACAUUAUGAAUACAUUGAGAUUUUACAUUUAAUUGCAAUCAUCUAGAUUUUUAAAUUUUCAUAUUUGAAUUGAUUUAAAAUAAAUAAAAAAAUAAAGUAGCACAGACCAUUUUUAAAGUUUCAGAUUUUGAGGAUUAUUAGGUUAAGUUUAAACAUAUUUUAUUGUCCAAAAACAUUGACUAUAGGAUUAGACACAAGUUUUGCAACUUAGAACGUCUUCUUAGGAUAGAUGUUUUCAGCAAGUAAUAUUGUAUGCAUGUUAAGAGAUUGUUCAAGAAAUUUUGUAUUGCUAUGCUAUUUUGUUAUUAUUGUUUGGGGGAAAUAUAUAUUUUGUAUGAAAAUACUAUGGAUGUCAUAAAUCAUAAAAAGGAAUAUAUAUGACAUAUGACAACUUGAUAAUUAGUUUCUCUGGUAUUACCCCAAAAAGUUAUGUAUAAUACUCUGAAAUCCGAGUAUAAAAAGUUUAGGGCAAGUUGAUCAAGAGACUAUAUAUAUUUAUUUUAAGGUAUAUUUUUUUGUUUGCUUUUGCUUAACAACACUUUAAAUACCGUACAUUUAUGGAAUUUGAUAGUGAUCCACUGUUUUUGGUUAAGUAAACCAGAUUGCCCUGUGUAGAAUGGUCUUUUUAGGUAUAAGAGAAAAAAAUCUCUGACAAUUAAUGUUAUGAUAUUUUUUUGUCAGCUUGUGUAUUUUUAUUGUACAUAAAUAAAGUAUGGUAAAUUCUUUAGACCCAAAAGAGAGCCAUAUAACAUUUUGCUACUGCAAAAAAUAAUCCCAAGUUAUUAAAUAUCAUUAGGUAGAUAAACAUCCAUCUGAAGCAAAGAUUAUUUUUUUAUUUCUGUUGAUUUGUGGUAAAUAAAAAUUCUAUUGUUUUGUCAAACACAAGUAUCAAAGGAAAUUCUUGACUGAUAGGUCAAUUUGUUGGUUAAACAAAGUAAUGCUUCUUUGCUACAGAUUGAAAAUUCAAAGUAAUCUCAGUAAUGAAUAAAUUGUUUAAAACUUGUCCCCAGACUUGUUUUUUGGGAUAAGAUUUAAGCAUGGCCAGUAACAAGCUUAUGUAAAACAUUACAAAACUACCCAAACCUAUGUGUGGUAUUGUAUUGUAUGAUUGAAGUGGUUUGUGUAGAUGAUAGAUGCCAAGAUCCUUGUCAAUAAGGUUUUGAGUAACGAGACAAGAAACAUUUUUAAACAUUUAAUAUUCAUAGAAUUACAUGCUGUGCAGAAAAUAGGUCAUUUAAUUGUAUAUGUAAAUGAGGUUAAAUUAUUGACAGGGUUCUUACCUACCUAAUUUAAUUUGUAAUGACCAUUUUUUUUUCAUAUUUUAAUUAUAUGUAUAUUUGCAUGUUACAUUUGAAAGAAAAAUAAUAAAAA